GACGAACGCUGGCGGCGUGCCUGACACAUGCAAGUCGAGCGAAGUGAGUACUACGGUACGAACUUAGCGGCGGACGGGUGAGUAACGCGUGGACAAUCUACUCUGUAGACUGGGAUAACACCUCGAAAGGGGUGCUAAUACCGGAUAAUGUCGAGAAGCGGCAUCGCUUUUCGAAGAAAGGAGAGAAUCCGCUAUAGGAGGAGUCCGCGUCCCAUUAGCUAGUUGGGGAGGGUAACGGCCCACCAAGGCGACGAUGGGUAGCCGGCCGGAGAGGGUGAACGGCCACACCGGAACGGAGACACAGUCCAGACUCCUACGGGGGGCAGCAGUGGAGAAUAUUGUGCAAUGGGGGAAACCCUGACACAGCAACGCCGCGUGAGCGAAGAAGGCCUUCGGGUUGUAAAGCUCAAUAGUAUGGGAAGAUAAUGACGGUACCAUACGAAAGCCCCGGCUAACUACGUGCCAGCCGCCGCAGUAAGAC
rnacentral:rRNA from 1 species